rnacentral:rRNA from 1 species
UGAACGCUGGCGGCGUGCCUAAUACAUGCAAGUCGAGCGAACAGACGCGGAGCUUGCUCCUCUGACGUUAGCGGCGGACGGGUGAGUAACACGUGGAUAACCUACCUAUAAGACUGGGAUAACUUCGGGAAACCGGAGCUAAUACCGGAUAAUAUAUUGAACCGCAUGGUUCAAUAGUGAAAGACGGUUUUGCUGUCACUUAUAGAUGGAUCCGCGCCGCAUUAGCUAGUUGGUAAGGUAACGGCUUACCAAGGCAACGAUGCGUAGCCGACCUGAGAGGGUGAUCGGCCACACUGGAACUGAGACACGGUCCAGACUCCUACGGGAGGCAGCAGUAGGGAAUCUUCCGCAAUGGGCGAAAGCCUGACGGAGCAACGCCGCGUGAGUGAUGAAGGUCUUCGGAUCGUAAAACUCUGUUAUUAGGGAAGAACAAAUGUGUAAGUAACUAUGCACGUCUUGACGGUACCUAAUCAGAAAGCCACGGCUAACUACGUG